rnacentral:rRNA from 1 species
GACGAACGCUGGCGGCGUGCUUAACACAUGCAAGUCGAGCGGAAAGACCCCUUCGGGGGCACUCGAGCGGCGAACGGGUGAGCAACACGUGGGUAAUCAACCCCUGACAUCGGGAUACCCCGGGGAAACCCGGAUCAAUACCGGAUAAGGUGCGGAGUCGCAGGACGCCGUACCAAAGGUAGCUUCGGCUUCCGGUCAGGGACGAGCCCGCGGCCCAUUAGCUUGUUGGUGGGGUAAUGGCCUACCAAGGCGACGAUGGGUAGCUGGUCUGAGAGGACGAUCAGCCACACUGGGACUGAGACACGGCCCAGACUCCUACGGGAGGCAGCAGUGGGGAAUCUUGCGCAAUGGGCGGAAGCCUGACGCAGCAACGCCGCGUGCGGGAAGAAGGCCUUAGGGUCGUAAACCGCUUUCAGGGGGGACGAAGCUUCCGGGGUUAAUAGCCUACGGGGUGACGGUACUCCCAGAAGAAGGUCCGGCUAACUACGUGCCAGCCGCCGCAGUAA